rnacentral:rRNA from 1 species
AGAGUUUGAUCCUGGCUCAGGAUGAACGCUGGCGGCGUGCUUAACACAUGCAAGUCGAACGAUGACUUUUGUGCUUGCACAAAAUGAUUAGUGGCGAACGGGUGAGUAACACGUGAGUAACCUGCCCUUAACUUCGGGAUAAGCCUGGGAAACCGGGUCUAAUACCGGAUACCACGGAUCCCCGCAUGGGGGUCCGUGGAAAGCUUGAUGCGGUUUUGGAUGGACUCGCGGCCUAUCACCUAGUUGGUUGGGGUAAUGGCCCACCAAGGCGACGACGGGUAGCCGGCCUGAGAGGGUGACCGGCCACACUGGGACUGAGACACGGCCCAAACUCCUACGGGAGGCAGCAGUAGGGAAUCUUCGGCAAUGGACGAAAGUCUGACCGAGCAACGCCGCGUGAGUGAAGAAGGUUUUCGGAUCGUAAAACUCUGUUGUUAGAGAAGAACAAGGAUGAGAGUAACUGUUCAUCCCUUGACGGUAUCUAACCAGAAAGCCACGGCUAACUACGUGCCAGCAGCCGCGGUAAUACGUAGGGCGCAAGCGUUAUCCGGAAUUAUUGGGCGUAAAGAGCUCGUAGGCGGUUUGUCGCGUCUGCUGUGAAAGCCCGGGGCUCAACCCCGGGUCUGCAGUGGGUACGGGCAGACUAGAGUGCAGUAGGGGAGACUGGAAUUCCUGGUGUAGCGGUGAAAUGCGCAGAUAUCAGGAGGAACACCGAUGGCGAAGGCAGGUCUCUGGGCUGUAACUGACGCUGAGGAGCGAAAGCAUGGGGAGCGAACAGGAUUAGAUACCCUGGUAGUCCAUGCCGUAAACGUUGGGCACUAGGUGUGGGGGACAUUCCACGUUUUCCGCGCCGUAGCUAACGCAUUAAGUGCCCCGCCUGGGGAGUACGGCCGCAAGGCUAAAACUCAAAGGAAUUGACGGGGGCCCGCACAAGCGGCGGAGCAUGCGGAUUAAUUCGAUGCAACGCGAAGAACCUUACCAGGUCUUGACAUCCCGCUGACCGGCCUAGAGAUAGGCUUUUCCCUUCGGGGACAGCGGUGACAGGUGGUGCAUGGUUGUCGUCAGCUGGUGUCGUGAGAUGUUGGGUUAAGUCCCGCAACGAGCGCAACCCUUGAUUUUAGUUGCCAGCAUUCAGUUGGGCAUUAUAAGGGGACUCCCGGUGAUAAUCCGGAGGAAGGGGGGGAGGAGGUCAAUUCUUCAUCCCCCUUAUUACCUGGGUUACACACGUGUUCCAAGGGACGGUACAGAGGGUGGCAACCCCGGGAGGGGGAGCAAAUCCCAUAAACCCGUUUUCAGUUGGGAUUGUAGGCUGCAAUUCGCCUACAGGAAGCGGGAAUCGUUAGUAAUGGUGGAUCAGCAUGCCACGGUGAAUACGUUCCCGGGCCUUGCACACACCGCCCGUCA